rnacentral:rRNA from 1 species
UACGUAGGGACCAAGCGUUGUCCGGAAUCAUUGGGCGUAAAGCGCGCGUAGGUGGCUUCGUAAGUCCGUUGUGAAAGUCAAAGGCUCAACCUUUGAAAGCCGAUGGAUACUGCGGAGCUAGAGUACGGAAGAGGCGAGUGGAAUUCCUGGUGUAGCGGUGGAAUGCGCAGAUAUCAGGAGGAACACCAAUGGCGAAGGCAGAUCUCUGGGCCGUAACUGACGCUGAGGAGCGAAAGCAUGGGGAGCGAACAGG